rnacentral:ncRNA from 1 species
AUAAAGUUUUAUUCUUGCUUAAAAAUUUAUUAUUAAUUUAUUUUACAUGUAAAUUUUUGUGUGGAUUAUAUUAUAUUUUAAAAAUAUAAUUUUUAUUAUUUAUUCGCAGUAAUUAAUAUUAUAAAAUUAAAGAAAUUUAGAAAUAGUAAUUUUAUUAAGUAUUAACAAAUUUUGUGCCAGCAGUUGCGGUUAUACAAAAAAUAUAAAUAAAUUUUAUUAGAUGUAGUUAGAUGUAUUAAUUUUAAAUUAAAAGUAAAUUUGUUAGGUGAAAUUUUAAAUUUAUAAUAGUUUAAUUUAUUAAAAUAAUUGAAGCUAGAAAAUUUUAAUUAUAAACUAGGAUUAGAUACCCUAUUAUUUAAAAUUUAAUUAGAUAGUCUUGAGUAGUAAUAGUUAUGGUCUUGAAACUUAAAGAAUUUGGCGGUAUUUUAGUCUAUUCAGAGGAACCUGUCCUAUAAUCGAUAGUCCACGUUGAAUCUUACUUAAAUUUGUUUAUCAAUUUGUAUAUCGCCGUUAUCAGAAUAUUUUAUAAGAAUAAUAAUUUUCUAAAUUUUUAAUUAAAUAAUGAUGUCAGGUCAAGGUGCAGUUUAUGUUUAAGUAGAGAUGGGUUACAAUAAAAAUAUUUAUUAAUGGAAAUGAAAUUGAAAUAUUUUAUAGAAGGUGGAUUUGAUAGUAAAAUUAUAUAGAUAAUUAAUUUGAUUAUAGCUCUAAAAUAUGCACAUAUCGCCCGUCGCUCUUAUUAUUAAGAUAAGAUAAGUCGUAACAUAGUAGAUGUACUGGAAAGUGUAUCUAGAAUGAC